rnacentral:rRNA from 1 species
ACGGGAGGCAGCAGUCGGGAAUAUUGCGCAAUGGAGGAAACUCUGACGCAGUGACGCCGCGUAUAGGACGAAGGUCUUCGGAUUGUAAACUAUUGUCGUUAGGGAAGAAAAAGGACAGUACCUAAGGAGGAAGCUCCGGCUAACUACGUGCCAGCAGCCGCGGUAAUACGUAGGGAGCAAGCGUUAUCCGGAUUUAUUGGGUGUAAAGGGUGCGUAGACGGGAAGUUAAGUUAGUUGCGAAAUCCCACGGCUCAACUGUGGAACUGCAACUAAAACUGGCUUUCUUGAGUGCUGGAGAGGAGAGCGGAAUUCCUAGUGUAGCGGUGAAAUGCGUAGAUAUUAGGAGGAACACCAGUGGCGAAGGCGGCUUUCUGGACAGUAACUGACGUUGAGGCACGAAAGUGUGGGGAGCAAACAGGAUUAGAUACCCUGGUA